rnacentral:tRNA from 1 species
CUAUUUUGGCAGAUUGAGUGCAAUGAAUUUAGGAUUCAUUUAGAUAUUAAAUUUUAUUUAUAUAG